UAUCCGUAGGUGAACCUGCGGAAGGAUCAUUAUUGAAUAAACCUGAUGGGUUGCUGCUGGCUCUCUAGAGAGCAUGUGCACGCUUGUCAUCUUUAUAUAUCUCCACCUGUGCACCUUUUGUAGACCUGGAUAUUUUUCUGAAUGCUCCUGGCAUUCAGGUUUGAGGACUGACUUAUGCUGUCUUUUCCUUACAUUUCCUGGUCUAUGUUUCUUCAUAUACCAGUCAUAGAAUGUAACAAAUGGGUGUUUUGUGCCUAUAAACCUAUACAACUUUCAGCAACGGAUCUCUUGGCUCUC
rnacentral:misc_RNA from 1 species